AUGAACGCUAGCUACAGGCUUAACACAUGCAAGUCGAGGGGCAGCAUGGUCUUAGCUUGCUAAGACUGAUGGCGACCGGCGCACGGGUGAGUAACACGUAUCCAACCUGCCGUCUACUCUUGGACAGCCUUCUGAAAGGAAGAUUAAUACAAGAUGGCAUCAUGAGUCCGCAUGUUCACAUGAUUAAAGGUAUUCCGGUAGACGAUGGGGAUGCGUUCCAUUAGAUAGUAGGCGGGGUAACGGCCCACCUAGUCUUCGAUGGAUAGGGGUUCUGAGAGGAAGGUCCCCCACAUUGGAACUGAGACACGGUCCAAACUCCUACGGGAGGCAGCAGUGAGGAAUAUUGGUCAAUGGGCGAGAGCCUGAACCAGCCAAGUAGCGUGAAGGAUGACUGCCCUAUGGGUUGUAAACUUCUUUUAUAAAGGAAUAAAGUCGGGUAUGCAUACCCGUUUGCAUGUACUUUAUGAAUAAGGAUCGGCUAACUCCGUGCCAGCAGCCGCGGUAAUACGGAGGAUCCGAGCGUUAUCCGGAUUUAUUGGGUUUAAAGGGAGCGUAGAUGGAUGUUUAAGUCAGUUGUGAAAGUUUGCGGCUCAACCGUAAAAUUGCAGUUGAUACUGGAUAUCUUGAGUGCAGUUGAGGCAGGCGGAAUUCGUGGUGUAGCGGUGAAAUGCUUAGAUAUCACGAAGAACUCCGAUUGCGAAGGCAGCCUGCUAAGCUGCAACUGACAUUGAGGCUCGAAAGUGUGGGUAUCAAACAGGAUUAGAUACCCUGGUAGUCCACACGGUAAACGAUGAAUACUCGCUGUUUGCGAUAUACAGCAAGCGGCCAAGCGAAAGCGUUAAGUAUUCCACCUGGGGAGUACGCCGGCAACGGUGAAACUCAAAGGAAUUGACGGGGGCCCGCACAAGCGGUGGAGUAUGUGGUUUAAUUCGACGCAACGCGAAGAACCUUACCAGGUCUUGACAUCCGAUGCAUAGCUUAGAGAUAAGUGAAGUCCUUCGGGACAUCGAGACAGGUGGUGCAUGGUUGUCGUCAGCUCGUGCCGUGAGGUGUCGGCUUAAGUGCCAUAACGAGCGCAACCCUUGUUGUCAGUUACUAACAGGUUCCGCUGAGGACUCUGACAAGACUGCCAUCGUAAGAUGUGAGGAAGGUGGGGAUGACGUCAAAUCAGCACGGCCCUUACGUCCGGGGCUACACACGUGUUACAAUGGGGGGUACAGAGGGCCGCUACCACGCGAGUGGAUGCCAAUCCCAAAAACCUCUCUCAGUUCGGACUGGAGUCUGCAACCCGACUCCACGAAGCUGGAUUCGCUAGUAAUCGCGCAUCAGCCACGGCGCGGUGAAUACGUUCCCGGGCCUUGUACACACCGCCCGUCAAGCCAUGGGAGCCGGGGGUACCUGAAGUGCGUAACCGCGAGGAGCGCCCUAGGGUAAAACUGGUGACUGGGGCU
rnacentral:rRNA from 1 species